rnacentral:lncRNA from 1 species
GCCGCGGAGAGCGUAAGCGCGGGCUGCUUAAUUCCAGCUAGUGAGCGCGCGGUCUCAGACGCCAGCGCGGCGGAGGCGGAGGCGAGCCGGCGAGGGGCGGGCUCUGGAUCUGGGGUUUCGGCCCUCCUCAGCUCCCGGCGGUCUCGCCCAGGGAGUCUUAGUUCUGUGUUUAAAGAAUAACCCCAAGCGCGUGGCUGAGUGUGAACAAGCGUGUGUGAUGUCGGGAGGCGCCGUGACUUAACCGAACCGCCCCGCUCGGCUGUCCCUUGUCUGGACCAAAACUGCUGACUGGCUGACCCCAGCGGUCACAUUUGCCCUGUGGGGUUUUUGAAAACCUUAAAUCAAUGUUGCUUUUCUCUCUGACAACUCCUGAGGCUACUUCCGCGGCCUCUGAGCUGUGGACAGAUAAAGACGCAAGUUUCCCCAACCAGGUACUUAACAGCUGGCAGUCGGAGGGUUUGAGAGGGCCCGACUGAAGUCGGAUUUGCUAUCCCUCUGUUAUUUCCAUGUUGUCUUUGGCCACAAGGACUGUUUAGCAGACCUCCAGCCGUGGGCUGGAGUUUUGUCUACUCAGAUGGUAGGAAGGACUCGAGUAAUGAAGAGGGGAUUUCAGGACACACUUUAGGAUUUCCAAUUCGAGUUUCUUGGGCUUGGGUAAUCCAAAUAAGUGCAUAACUUCUUCCUCAAUCUCCCUGGCGUGUGCAAUCGCAGCCGCCGAAUUAAUUAGAUUCAAGACGUGAAGAUUCGUGCUUGGAAAUUCAAUUUCUUUUCUAAAUUCCCAGUUCAUGUCCAAUAGUUCUUAGUGCACGGGCAACGUGGGUUGUCUAGGACUCCACUUCUUCUUUCAAAUUAUGUUUUUAAGCUACUAUUUCUGCGUUUAGUGGAAUUUUUGAACCGGCUAGGCCGAAGUAUCUCCGCGAGGGCAGGAAGUGAGGGACCGAACCUGGGACACCGGGGUCCGUUCACCCUCCGUGGCGCUUAGGUACCAGAUGGAGGGCGGCGUGUGGUUUGGGGUCCAGCCCGAGACUCCACGCUUAGCGUCGGGACAGUUCUGAGCUUGGUGGUUAAAAAAAAAAAAAAAGCGUUUGAGAAAGGUCAUUUUGCACUCACCACGUGCCUGCGCCACUUACGGAUUUAUAUUUUUCUGGGGCUCUGCCUAGUGCAUCUGUUUAACAGUCCAUUCUCUCCUAAUACAAGACCUGUAGGGUCGGGAAGGAGUAGAGGAAAAGAUGUGGACAGGAAAAGACUGAAACCCGGGCAAGAAUUGCUCUCAGGGAGUGCGGGAAGGAGCCGGAUCAACGCAGAGGACCCGCAAUGUGGGUGUUAAACUCUGAUUAAAACAUAAAACUCCUUCCCCACUUGCCUCGGUUUCUUUUGUGCGGUCCCUACAGCGGUGCCUUCAAUAACCGUGUGAACAGAAAUCCGAAACGUCCCAUUCUGCCUUCUGAAACGUAACCCCGGGCUAAUAACACAAUCAGCGUGGAGCGGGUGGGGCCUGGUAGGGUUAGACCCGGGUCAGUGCCUGGCCCCGAGUCCCCGGGUGGCCGUCACUCUCCAUCUCGGCUAUCAACCUCAAGCGUGCGCC